CGGGGUGUGGCUCAGACCGGUAGAGCGUGGCGCUUCGAGCGCCAAGGUCCGAGUUUCACAUUCCGCCAAGCCAA
rnacentral:tRNA from 1 species